UCGUCCCCACAGAAUAUACUUGUUCGUCCCGCUUGGCAGCGCUUGGCGAGGCGGGUGUAUUGAGCGUAUUGUUGAUAUUUUUUUAAUAUUAAGUUUAGAAAGAAAAACGGCAAAAAUUGGGUCCUCAAACGAGAAAAUGCCCGAUGUUAUUAUUUCCUUAACAUCGUCAGAUGAAGAGGAAAAUAUUGAACCGCCCCCGCCUAAGAAAAGUAAACCCACACUCUUUCUAUCCGAAUGCACCUUAACUGUAGUUAGUGGUAACAAGAAAA